UACGUAGGGUGCAAGCGUUGUCCGGAAUUAUUGGGCGUAAAGAGCUCGUAGGCGGUCUGUCGCGUCGCUGUGAAAACCCGGGGCUCAACCCCGGGCCUGCAGUCGAUACGGGCAGACUAGAGUUCGGUAGGGGAGACUGGAAUUCCUGGUGUAGCGGUGAAAUGCGCAGAUAUCAGGAGGAACACCGGUGGCGAAGGCGGGUCUCUGGGCCGAUACUGACGCUGAGGAGCGAAAGCGUGGGGAGCAAACAGG
rnacentral:rRNA from 1 species